rnacentral:tRNA from 28 species
AGGGGUAUAGCUCAAUUGGCAGAGCGUCGGUCUCCAAAACCGAAGGUUGAGGGUUCGAUUCCUUCUGCCCCUGCCA